ACAGUACCGCUUCCGCUUCUAGCCACAGUGCUCGCAGGCAGCUGGGUGGAGGCAGCUGCUCCCACGAGCUGCAGUUAGAUGGGAGGAUUUUGGUACCUGCCCUUUGCCGUCCUGCUUCACCGAGCAACUGCAGCCGGAGAUAGGCGUCCUCGCGGCGGCACGUCCCCGAGAAGCCGGAUAUUCAGGGAGAAAGUUGCCCAUCCCACCAUCCCACGGCAGAGCGGGGCUGUGCGGGCUGCUGACGACACGGAAGUGUGCUCUGGGGACGGCACAGCCACAGAAUGGAACGGGGCUGCGGGCAAGUCCAUCACGUUUCGUCUGCAGCGCCUCUUGGGAAAGCACGUAGCCUGGCACUUUCAGAGCGAACUGCUAGCAACUGUCAAAUUUGGAAACCCUCCUGACAUCAUUUAUUUUGACCAAACCUACAAGAGUCGCCUGAACUUCUCUGCCAAUGGCACCGCAAUCACCAUCUCGCAGCUGGCAAUGGAAGACGCUGGCAUCUACACGGCUAAAUUCUCUACAACGGCAAAAGCUCUCUUCAUCCUGCAUGUGUACGCGGAGCUGCCGCAGCCAGCGAUCACCUGCAUCUGGAGCAACUGCUCCACCGCCGCCUGCCACUACCGC
rnacentral:lncRNA from 1 species